AAGGAAUGAAAAGAAAGAGAAAUUGGGUAGUGCUAAUGAUACUUUGUUGUUCUGUGAGAGGAAACUUGUAUGAAAAUGAACUUAAGUAUGAUAGGAAAAAUUAAUAUAGACUGACAAUGGUAUGAUACAAGAUGGAAGGAAUGAAAAGAAAGAGAAAUUGGGUAGUCAUAUUGAUACUUUGUUGUUCUGUAAAAGGAAACUUGUACGAAAAUGACCUUAAAUAUGACAGGAAAAAUUAAUAUAGACUGACAAUGGUAUGAUACAAGAUGGAAGGAAUGUAAAGAAAGAGAAAUUGGGUAGUCAUAUUGAUACUUUGUUGUUCUGUAAAAGGAAACUUGUACGAAAAUGACCUUAAAUAUGACAGGAAAAAUUAACAUAGACUGACAAUGGUAUGAUACAAGAUGGAAGGAAUGUAAAGAAAGAGAAAUUGGGUAGUCAUAUUGAUACUUUGUUGUUCUGUGAGAGGAAACUUGUAUGAAAAUGAACUUAGGUAUGAUAGGAAAAAUGAACAUCGACUGACAAUGGUAUGAAACGGUAAGAAAGGCAUGGAAGAAAGAUAUGAAGUGCUAGUCAAUCUUAAGUAUAUGCAGCUUAAAAGUGGAAUGACACAAGAUGAAAGGAAUGAAUAGAAAGAGAAAUUGGGUAGUGAUAUCGAUACUUUGUUGUUUUGUGAGAGGAAACUUGUAUGAAAAUGAACUUAAAUAUGACAGGAAAAAUGAAUAUGAACUGACAAUGGUGUGACAUGGUAAGGAAGGGAUAAAAGAAAGUAAUGAAGAAGUCCUAGUAGUUAAAUUGGUACUUGAUGUUAAGUAAAAAAGUGAUUACUAGUAUGAAAAUAAACUAAAGCAUAACACACUGAAUAAUAAAUCCACAAAGAGAAAGAAAUGAAGAAGAGAUAAAAAAAAAAGAAUAAAAGUUGCUAUACUGGUACACUGAUAUCAUAUAAGAGAAAAACUUGUAUAGAAAUAAACUUACGCAUAACACACUAAAUAAAUGCAGCUUAAAAGUGAUAUGGAAUUAAAAGAAGCCACUAUACAGACAAAGAAAGAUUAGGCAAGUAGCUAUGUAUAUAUGUAUCGGUACUCUGAAUGUUAUGUAUUUACCUAGUUGUGGGUAAAUACAACUAGGUAAACACACUAAAUAAAUGCAGCUUAAAAAUUAUAUGGAAUUAAAAGAAGCAAUUAGACAGACAAAGAAAGUGUAAGUAUCUAGCUAUGUAUAUGUAUCCAUACUCUGAAUGUUAUGUAUGUGUAUGUAUGUAUGUAUGAAUAAGCUUAACCAUAUCACACAUAAAAUUGAAUACAUGAGCAAGAUUUCUUCACAUUACAAACACAAGCCUUCUAUGGAUCCUCUCUUACAACAGUCUUCGUUCCACUCAUUCAGCCUCCUUAUAAAACUCUAGUCUUUGUACAGAUCUGUUAGUAACUUAGUGGUACAUGUAUGAGAAAUGAGUGCAGUGAGGAUUACCGUUAGCAGCUUGAGGUAUAGCAGGUGAAGGGAAUGUAUGUGUGGUUUAUAAAUGGCAGAUAUUUGGAGAUUUUUAUGCAUGGUUUACGAGAUUUUGCUUCCCCGACUUUCGAUAAAUUUUUCUCUUUUGUUACCUUGUCCUGCUUCACACAUCACAGUGACAAUAUAUUCAACAUUCCGGAAAAUCCACAAACGGUAAUAUUUAUGGAUUUUUUAAAGAGAUUUUUGUUUCCCCGUCUUCCGCUGUCUUCCAGUAAGUUUCUCUCUUUUGUAACCUUUUCCUACUUCACACAUCACAGUGACGAUAUAUUCAACAUUCCGUAAAGUCCACAAAGUUAUAUUUAUGGAUUUUUUUACGAGAUUUCUGUUUCCCCGUCUUCCGAUAAGCUUCUCUCUUUCAUGACCUUUUCCUGCUUCACACAUCACAGAGACAACACAUUCAGCAUUCCGUAAGUCCACACACAGUAAACAAUUGGUAAUAUUUAUGAGUGUUUUAUGAGAUUUUGUUUCCCCAUCGUUUUAUGAGUUUUCCUUCUUUCGUAACCUUUUCCUACUUCAUACAUUACAUACAAUACAAUCAACACUUCAUAGAUUCCGCAGACAGCAACCAAUUGACAGUAUUUGUGAUUUUUUAUGAGAUUUUGUUUCCCCGUAGUUUUAUGAGUUUUCCUUCUUUCGUAACCUUUUCCUGCGUCACACAUUACAUACAAUACAAUCAACACUUCAUAGAUUCCACCAACAGCAACCAAUUGACAGUAUUUGUGAUUUUUUAUGAGAUUUUGUUUACCCGCCUUUCAAUGAGUUUCCUUCUUUUGUAACCUUGUCCUGCUUCACACAUUACAAACACUACAUUCAACACUUCAUAGAUUCCACAAACAGCAAACAAUUGACACUAUUUAUGAGUUCUCUUUGAGGUUUCGUCUAUUAUCUUUCAGCAAACUUUCCUCUCUCGUAACUUUGCCCUGCUUUAUAUAUUACACACAAUACACUCAACACUUCAUAGCUUACACAAACAGCAAACAGUUGACAGUAUUUAAGAGUACUUUUUGAGAUUUGUUACUUUAUGCAAAUUUCCUUCUUCAAUGCCCCUGUCCUGCCCCAAGCCCCCAAUGCAGAACUCAGUACAUCAGAAAAACAACACAGUCAACACUCUGCCAUCACGACCGGAAAGGCAUUUUGAACUAGAAUGUGAUUAUCAUUAUAUUGUACAUGACGUUCCUUGCUCUGUAUCUCCGAGCGAAAUCACACACCAGCGGAUAACACAAGAAAGCAAGAUCAUCGGCAAAACACAAACACCUCGGAUGGAAGUCACGGCACGUUAUUCCGAGUCACUGUUCGUCUUUUUCAAUACAGAACCUCAUCACAGAAUCUCUCUUGGUGGAAAUAAACUUAGAAUGAAAGAAUACACAAUAGCCUCAUGUAAAAGCCAUAUCUGGAAUGAUGUAGUGAAGGUUUAACUGAGAUGGACGAAACGUUUACAUGGAUAAUACUAUUCUAAAUAAAAUAAUGAACACUUCCUCAACUGAACAUUAUAUUGUGGCCUUAAAUGGGUGGCAACUUUUACGAGAGAUCAACGUUGACAUAAGUGGCACGAUGGAUCAUUUUCACCUACCAUGCAAAAUAACAAAUAAAAUAAAUAACUGCUUCAUCAACUGAACAUAUCAUGAUCUUACAGGGAAGCAACUUUUACGAGAGAUCAAUGUAGACGCAAGUAAGAUGACAGAUCAUUUUCACCAAUACAAAGAAGUCGGAAUAAUAUCAAAGUAUCACGUAAUGGGAAGUCAAACAAGGCAGACAACACAAGAGGGUUAAAAUAAAUGAACACUUCCUCAACUGAACCUAAUAUCAUGGUCUUAAACGUGAGGCAACUUUACGAGAGAUCAACGUUGACAUAAUUAAGACGAUAGAUAGUUUUCGCCUACCAUGCAAAAUAACAAAUAAAAUAAACAACUGCUUCUUCAGUUGAAUGUAUCAUGAUCUUACAGGUAAGGCAAAUUUUACGAGAGAUCAAUGAAGUAAGACAACAGAUCAUUUUCGCCUACAAUACAAAGCAAUCAUAAUAUCAGACUAUCACUCAAUGGGAGUUCAAACAAGACCGACCCAUCGACAACUCAAUGGCUGAAAAUCUUGAGCAGAAAUCUGUGUCAGUAUCCUCUUGCAAUCAUAAAUAAUAAUAAAACAAACAGUAAGUAUAAUAUAGGAUGGCACAACUUAAGGGUAAUACACAAGACACAUCAUCUAUUUACACAUAUCACCAGAACGUAAUAUCAACGCACAUUGGGUAUACAUAACAUAAGUAUAGCAUCACAAAUCAUAUAUCUGAAUAGCCGUUCGUGUGUUUGUGUUUGUGUUCAUGUUUGUGGGUGUGGACAUGUUUACAGGAUUUGAGUCAUCUUUGUAUUAUCGUCUUCCUCCAUGUAAAUAUUCUUCUAACUCAUCCUUAAACUUAUGAACGCUGAUGGCUUGGACCUCCUCUGGAUAUGAACAGUUCCAUUUGUCGUUAGUUCCUUCCCUUCCCAUCCUUUCUUAUACUCCUACUCCUCCUUACUAGUAUUUUUUGUCAUAUAUAAUAGCAUACAGUACUUAACAAGCCCAUUUAGCCUCAGUUAAUGCAGUAUACAUGUAUCUCUUAGCAGCAUCAGAAGUCUUAUGUAUCUAUUUUUCAGUGGCGUAAAUAAUGAGAGAAAAAGAAAUGGAAAUAUCUUACCUAAUAACCCUCUUUUAAUGUCCUUUUUCCUGCCUUUUCCAACACAUAACAGCUGCUUCCAUAUCCAUUAUUUAGCAAUGUAUUAAUGAGUAAGAAGAUAAGAGAAAACCUAAUGCAAGCAACCUUCAUAACAUCAUUCCUUCCAUCUUUUCCGGCACGCUGUAUAAUGGAUGCCUAUGUACUUGCUCCUCGUUAGUGUAAAAAGUACCGAGAAAAUAACCUAACCUGCGUAAUCAUCGUCAUUCUCCCCACACGUCAGUUUUCCUUCAAGGCCAGACAGUUAAGAUCCUCCAUUUAAUCUAAAAAUGCGAGGGGAAAAGAAGAAGAAAAACCCGAAUCUAACAACCUUAAUGUCAUUCUUCCAGUAAAUCAGUUUCUCUCAAGGGUCAGGGGUAGGGUAAGGUCAAGGUUUGGUGGGCAGGGUUACCUCGUCCUGCAAUGAUUUAGAAAUGAGAGGGAAAGAAAGAAGAAAAAAACUAACCUAACAACCUUCACAUCACUCUUCCCACAAAUCAAUUUCCUUCAAGGGUCAGAGGUAGAGUAAGGUCAAGGUUUGGUGGGCAGGGUUACCUCGUCCUGCAAUGAUUUAGAAAUGAGAGGAAAAGAAAAAAGAACAACCUAACAACCUAACAACCUUCACAUCACUCUUCCCACAAAUCAAUUUCUUUCAUGGGUCAGAGGUAGGGUAAGGUCAAGGUUUGGUGGGCAGGGUUACCUCGUCCUGCAAUGAUUUAGAAAUGAGAGGGAAAGAAAAAAGAAAAACUAACCUAACAACCUUCACAUCACUUUUCCCACAAAUUAAUUUCUUUCAUGGGUCAGAGGUAGGGUAAGGUCAAGGUUUGGUGGGCAGGGUUACCUCGUCCUCCAAUGCUUUAAAAUUGAGAGGCAAAGAAAGAAGAAAAAAAUAAUCGAACAACCUUCACGUCACUCUUCCCACAAAUCAAUUUCUCUCAAGGGUCAGAGGAAAGGUCAGUCAGGGUUUGGUGGUAGGGUCAACAGGUUCCUUCCCCUGCCAGCUGUCCUCCCCUGCCAAGGCUGGGAACCUCCCUUGGCAGGACAGUGGAAUGUACGAAGCCAUCGUACAAAAAAAAACUUCCUUCUAGCGAGGCUGAGACCCCUUCAACUAAACUCAACUAAGAUACCCAAUGACUCUGGGAAAGUAUGGCCACAGCUAGAGGAGCAAGUCAAGUUCAAACAUUCAAAAAUUUAUAUGCAGAUCUCUGUCGAGUGUAGCUGCUGCUGCUGACCUCACAGGGACGGCACUCGGGUGGCUCUCUGGCACCGAGUGGCAGCCUCGUGUUAGUCACCGGCAGGACACACCCACACGCCACGAGAUUCAGAUUCCAAAAGGGAGCCGAGCCGCCCUGUCUACCUCCACUACACGGGACACAGGAGUUGAGGCCUACACAGGUAACACUCAGGAUGACUAGCAGUGCCCACAGAGGGUUGGUAAGCCAAGUAUUGAGCAUGUGGAAAAGCAAUGAGUUGAUAUAAAAACUAGACUGAUGGUGGCCCUCCGUACGACCGGGCCAUGAGGGCGUGCCGGCCGGUGGGAGGCGCCAAGCUGCCUCCCCCUGCCGCCGUGCUGCCGAGAGGGCCCGGGGAGGAGGAGGCUUACAAUUAGCUGAUAUUUAAAAGUUUUGUGUUCAACCACAGUAAUUAGAUUAGAUACAAAAGUCUGCAAAAAAAUUUGAGUUGAUUCAUGACAUGGAAAAAUAAUGGAAUGGCUAGAUGGUUAGCUUUUGAUAUGAACAUAAAGCGUCUAGCAGCUAGAAAUCUUGGGUAUACAAAAUACAUACUGUAUAUAUUAUCAAGUUGAGUUUCUUACGGUGUGGCAGAGUACUUCAUAGCAAUGUUUUGUGACGACAACUCUCACAGAACGUUUUUGCCAUCUGUUUCCUUCACCAGCAGCCACCAGCCUCACCUCAACCCACACAGUGCAUGGAGUGUCCUCAACCCUCUGCUGUGGUGACUUUGUGUUUUCUGAAUCAAGCAUUACCAGUGUAUCACAUGGACUCAGCGAAGAGGGACAACACUACUGGGUAAAGAAACGUCACCCGAGCCACCUGGAGCAGUGGGGGUGGAUGCGGAGGUUCGUUAUAUGCAUACAUGAGAAAGAAGAUGGGAUGUGACUUGCCCAGUACGACGCUCACUUCCCUCUGAGCUAUAUGGAAGAUACAAAUAUAGGAUUUAUGUACAAUAUCUUUCUCUCUGGGGUGAUCGGCUAGUAACGGCUACAAACACUGGGGAAGCAAUCAAGGCCUUUGCGAGACUCUGAAGCUGGCUGAACACUCGGAGACAUGUGUUUGUGUGAGUAGGUUUGUGGGUGUGUAUGUGAGUGAGUGUGAGUGCGUUUGUGUGCGUGUGUGCGUGUGUGAGUGUGUGAUGGAAUGAAGAGGAGAGAGUAUCAAUACAUCUCUAGAACUGAAUUUGAUCAUAUUUUUAGUGUCAUUUCCUUCAGCCUUUCAAGAAGCAACACAUAUGAAGCAUUUUUUAUACAUUUUACAAGUGUUUCAAUCUCUCCCCUUUUAAUAUAGUAAGGGAAACAGACUGAGGAGUAAAAAGUAUAUAUAAAAAGAUGCUCAUAACAAACUGCUUCAUAAACUGCAAGAAAAUAUGCCUUAAAAAUGAAUAAUCCAAUUUCGCUCGCCAAUGCCAAGACAACCAAUGACGAACUAAUCCGAGGCUUCCAUCAGCACACAAACACCUUGAUCACUCCCCUUACAGACCCAUGACGACUAUUCUUAAGAUUACUUCAGAGGUUAUAGAAACCCUACAAAAGCAUAUGUACAAUACCUUAAGGGGGGUAUAAUCUCAUUGUUUUGGGAUCCACUCCUUUGCUGGGGACCCUGGGGGCAUCCUAUACAGCUGUACACGUGAGACUGGAAGACCAAAUUGAUGAAGUAUUUGCAACUUGUAUGAUUCAUUCUCGGUAAUGCUCAGAACGCACCACACGACUGUCAUACGGGUAGAUGGGAAAUAAGGCAAAGUAUGGAUGAAAAGAAUAUACAGAGAGGAAAAUAACCUACUCAUGGCAAAAAAACAAAAAGGAUGUACUUAGAGGAAAAUGAUGUCUUAUAUGGCAAAAAGUGGAGGAAAAUAACCUAUCUCAAAGGGUAAGAAAGACAAAAGAAUGUACUUGGAGUAAAAUGACGUCUUAUAUAGCAAAAAUUGAUAAAAAAGAAUGUAUAAGCAGAAAUAUAACUUAGUUCACAUGGCACAAAAUGGACAAAAGGAUUUAUGUGGAGAAAAAUCAUUAAUCUCAUAUACCAAAAAUGACAAAAAGAACAAAUAUGGAGAAAAAUACCGAAUCUCAUGUGACAAAAAAAAAAUAAAAAUAAAUAAAUAAAAAUAAAUAAAUAAAUAAAAAAUAAAUAAAAAAUAAAAAAUAAAAAAAAUAAAAAAAAGGUAUAUAUGUGGAAAAAUCUCCUAUGGCAAAUAACGGACAAAAGGAAAGUGUACAGACAAAAAUAACUUAUAGUAUGGUAAAAAAAAGAAUACAUGUAGAAAAAUCACUAAUCUUACAUGACAAAAUUCUUUAAGUGUUGCUCAGAACACAC